rnacentral:rRNA from 1 species
CCUACGGGUGGCUGCAGUGGGGGAUAUUGCACAAUGGGGGAAACCCUGAUGCAGCGACGCCGCGUGUGGGAAGACGGUCCUCUGGAUUGUAAACCACUGUCCCCAGGGACGAAAAUGACGGUACCUGGGGAGGAAGCUCCGGCUAACUACGUGCCAGCAGACGCGGUAAUACGUAGGGAGCGAGCGUUGUCCGGAAUUACUGGGUGUAAAGGGAGCGUAGGCGGGGAUGCAAGUUGGGUGUCAAAACUACCGGCUCAACUGGUAGUCGGAAUUAAAACUGGAGCUCUUGAGUGAAGUAGAGGCAGGCGGAAUUCCUAGUGUAGCGGUGAAAUGCGUAGAUAUUAGGAGGAACACCAGUGGCGAAGGCAGCCUGCUGGGCUUUUACUGACGCUGAGGCUCGAAAGUGUGGGGAGCAAACAGGAUUAGAUACCCCGGUAGUC